CUAAGGAAUUAAUUGGAUUGAACCUUGUUAUGGAAACUUAGAAAGUGAUCACUUUAAAAUUCAGAAAAACCCCUGAAUUAACAAAAAUGGGCAAUGCUGAGUGAAAUCCUGUUAUUUGAAUACAAAAAAAGAGCUAACAAAAUGAUAGGUGUAGAGACUUGAUGGAAACUACUCUAAUAAAUGGAAUUGAAUGUGUUCGUAGAGGACUCUUUAUAGAAAAAGAAUGAAAUUAAGGACAUACAU
rnacentral:ncRNA from 1 species